rnacentral:rRNA from 1 species
CAUGAGUGUAUAUUAGAAUUGUUGUAGUUAAAAAGCUCGUAGUCGGAAAUUAUUUUUUGAGUCAUUUUAAAAUUCUUCAAUUUUGUUCAGCCUAUGGUUGAGAAAAUUGAAAUUUAAAAUCCAAAAAAUAUUAAAGGAAGAUUAGAAGGAUUUCAAAUUUUUAAUUUGGAGUUCUUUUAUUCAUCCAUUUUACUUUGAAAAAAUUAGAGUGUUCAAAGCAAGUUUUUUUCAGCCAGCCUUGUGUUGCGCGAAAAUACCAAACAACUUUUGAAUAUUUCAGCAUGGGACAAUAAAAUAAGACUUUAUUUAUUUAAUUUUAUUGGUUUUAUAAAUAUCAACUUUAUAAUAAGGUAAUGAUUAAUAUAAUCAAUUUGGGAUAUUUGUAUUUCAUAGCUAGAGGUGAAAUUCUUGGAUUUAUGAAAGACAAACAUAAGCGAAAGCAUUUAUCAGGGAUGUUUUAAUUGA